AAAAAAUACAUAAUAAACCAAACAAACCUAAUCAGUCGAAAUAAAUCUACGAAUUACUAGAAUAUUCCAUCCCAUGAAAAUUGGAUGGAUACAAACAAAACAAAGAAUUCCGUCUAGAAACUACGCAGUAACACCAGAAUUCAAUCACAGACGUACGCGACAAACCUGCCUCCAUUUACCGUGACGCGCUAAACAAAGACAAACAACCGAAACGGUGUCUUAGAUGUCGAUCAAUACCCCCCCAGUAGGUCACGUAGGCCGCGUCGCAUUCACGAACAUUCUAGCAGUGGGGGUCGAGUCUAUAAAUACCGAGCGAGCGGAAAACGCGUCACAGUUCGCUCUAAAGUGUCGUUCAAAUAACGAGUUUGGUGUGUGUUAGUGGUGUACUUAGGUUUUUUUUGGGUGUAAGGCGUUGGCGCAUAUAAUUAUUGAGUUUCCUAUCCAACGUUCUGCGUAAUAACUGCUAGUUAUGCGUCCAAUAUGGCGACUAUUGACCAAUCGAUAACUAGAACUAGGCUAGGGUGCGGUCGCACGAGAACGCACGCGCUGAUUCGAUCGAAAUCGAUAUCUAUUCUAGUAGAGCUGAGCCGGAUUUAAAUAAUCGUUUAAAGAGUAAAAGGGGUAUGGUUAUAAAUGAUAAUUGAAUCUUUUAGAAAGGGGCUUCGGCUUCUAGUAGGUAACCUUAAUUUUGGGCCCUAGGGCCGGAACAUUACGAAUUUUUCUAGAUUUUUUCCAACCGUUGUUCGUCGUCGCUUUCCGAGGUGUCCCGACUGAGAGGUAUAGAUAGAUAGACACUACCCUGACGACAACCCUUAAUAAUUUAAAAAAAAAAAACUUAAUACUUUUGCCUGUAUAUUUAGCAUUACCUAUAUUAUUAUUAUUAUUAUUAUUGAAAAAACAAUUUAAUAACUUUCAUAAUUGACCCUACACGAAUAAUCAACUAUAUAAUACCCCAUACAUAUGUAGACCCAUUUUAUUUACAAAAAAAAACUGCUGGCGUUUGUAGUAUAACCGACAUAAUAAAAUAACUUUUUAUUUAAAACAAA